rnacentral:lncRNA from 1 species
UGACUCUCUAAAGUCCAGCUGAUGCAAUGAGAAGGCGCCUGUUGGCAAACCAGGAAGAGAAACUGAAUCAGCCAGCACCUUGAUCUUUGACUUUCCAGCCUCCAGAACUUGCAUAGGUGUAUAUUUUAGUUGUGGGUCCCUUUAGUGGCAGCAUGUGGGAUGCCGCCCAAACAUGGCCCGAUGAGCCGUGCCAUGUCUGCGCCCAGGAUCCAAACGCUGGACCUCCGAAGUGGAGUGCAGGAACCCGACCACUGGGCCAUGCAGCCGGCCCCUGAUCUUUCAAUUUUCACUGGAGGAUGGAAAGCUCUGUUGAAG